rnacentral:tRNA from 1 species
CGGAUUAGCAAUCCACCGCUUUAGUCCGCUCAGCCAUCUCUCC